AGCUAGCACCGGCGCCUCUGCCCCUCCCCUGCUCCGGACCCAGGCUCCCCGCCUUACCCCCCGCCCCCCAGGGCGCCCCGAGGUCUCACCACGUCUCAGCCGCCCUUUGAUACAUGGGGGUUGUGCGGGGCGGGGGGCAGGGGACCCGCCCUCUCUCCAAACACUAGCAGGGCCGGGGCGCCUGGGCAGGCACGUGUCCGGGCACAACCCGCUGCCCACGCUGCCCCCCCACUCCCGCCCCCCCGCUCUGGCCAGGACACGUCGCUCUCUUACUUGGGUGGGGUGGGAGGAGGGGAGAGAAAGCUGGGACUGGAAAGCAGCGCCCCCCACCCCUUUGAAUGGCCAACCUCAGCCAGCGGUGCGCACCAGGUUUCCACCACACAGCGACCCCCACUCCGCUUAGGGCAGGUGCGCCGGCGCCGGCGGCAAGACCGCUGGUAGGUCGAGUUCUUAUCACCCACCCUAGCACCGGAGUUGUGAGAGCAAAAGCUGACUUUGAAAAGGUGGCGGUGGGCCUGAGGCUUGAGAGGAGGGAAUGUGAUUGCGGAGCGGGAGGGGCAGCGGGGUCGUUCUGCUGAGCUGCACUCCCGCUGGAGAGACGACGCGGCUCUGGAAGCGCAAGAAACCGAAUAGUCCAGCCGGAGUCUUACUAUAUUGCCUAUGCUGUUCUCCAGCUCCUGGGAUCAAACCUCCCAAGUCAGCUUCUAGAAUAGAAGGGAAAAUAGAUGUCUGUGUGCUACCCAUCUGGCAAGCCCUAAAGUCGAGAUGUGAAAAUGUAGGUGCGCUGAAUGUCUGUUCUAAAGAGUGUUGUCCUUCUGACCUUGGGAUGAAUCACUUCACCUUUUGGGCUUGUUUAUUCAAAUUAGUGUGAUUCCCUUUAACAUCUUGCCUAGUUUUGUUCUGUGUGUAUGUGUAUGACUUUUGUUUGUUGCUUGGUUCUGAGAUAAGGUUUCAACACCACAAUCAAGCCUGCCUACUUUUGAAGUUUACUUUUCCUCCUGAGCACACAGACAUUCAGGUGUGGAGGUCAGAGGACAGCUUGCAGAAGUUGGUUCUCUCUUUCCAUCAUGUGGGUUCUGGGGAUUGGAAUGAUCAGGCUUGAUAGCAAGCACCUUUAUCUACUGAACCAUCUUGCCAACCCUGAAGUGUACUUUAAAAAAAAAAAAAAAACUUAAGCCAGGUACUCAGGAGGCAGAGACAGGCAGGCAGAUCUUUAUGAGUUUGAGGCUAGCCUCAUCUACAUGGUGAGUGGGACCAAGCUACAUAUUGAGACUUUUUUUAAAAAAAUUAUUUUGGGACUGGAGAGAUGGCUUAGCAGUUAAGAGCACUGGAUGCUCUUCCAGAGGUCCUGAGUUCAAUUCCCAGCAGCCACAUGAUGGCAUACAACCAUCUGUAAUGGGGUCUGAUGCCCUCUUCUGGUGUGUCUGAAGAAAGCUACAGUGUACUCACAUACAUAAAAUAAAAUUAAAUAU